AAAGGAAAAGAGUGACGCUGUCAGGUGGAUGACUCGGCUCAGCUGCCGAUGAAGGACGCGACAAGCAGCGAAAUGCUCCGGCGAAUCGCAUGUAGAUGUUGAACCGGAGAUCUCCGAAUAGGACUUCCUCAGAGAAUCCGCAAGGAUGGGGAACGCAGGGAAGUGAAGCGUCUCAGUACCUGCAGGAAAAGAAAUCAAUUGAGAUGCGGUGAGUAAGAGCGACUGAAAUCCGCACAUGGCAAACCGAAUCUUUGCUGGCAACAGUAAAGGGAUGUGGUGUUGGCCUUCGUUUCUUCCGUUUCGGGAAUCUGAAGUUGCCUGGAAAGGCAUGCCAGAGAGGGUGAUAGCCCCGUAGGAACAACUGGAGCGGAAGAUGGAGAGUCCAUGAGUAUCGGGUAUUGGAUAUUACUCGAGAAUACGGGAGGAAUCAACUUCCAACCAUAAAUACACGCUGAGUCCGAUAGCGAACAAGUACCGUGAGGGAAAGUUGAAAAGAACCCAUAACAGGGAGUAAAAAGACCCUGAAACCUGACAGCCAUAGAGGGAUACGGCAUUACGGUGUCGUAUCGUCCGUUUUGAAUAACGUGCCAGGGAGUUUAUCUGUAUGGCGAGACGGAGCCUUUCUCAAGGCAGAGUCGAAGCGAAAGCGAAUUGCCGCAGGCAACAAGGGCAAUGGUAUGAAAGUGCCAUAGUCAUAUGGAUAUGACCCGAAACCGGGCGACCUAACCCUAAGCAAGGUGAAGCGGGAGUAAAAUCCCGUGGAGGCCUGCAGAGGUGCUACGAACAAGUGCUCUUAUGACUUGGGGUUAGGAGUGAAAUGCCAAUCGAGCCCGGUGAUAGCUGGUUCCUACCGAAGUUGGCCGUAGUCAAGCCUUGACCGAGGUAGGUAAGAGGGUAAAGAUACGGAUUAGGGAUUUAGGCUGGGAAACCGGUCGGUUCCUUGUCCAACUCAAAAUCUCUUACCACCAUAGAAGUCAGGAGACGGGAAGUCCGGGGUAAGCUUGGCUUCCGAGAGGGGAACAACCCAGACUGUAGUUAAGGUCCCUAAUUGUUGAUUAAGUGUGAAAGGGUGAAGAGUGUCCAGGUCCAAAAACAACUAGGAGGUUGGCUUAGAAGCAGCCACCCUUUAAAAAGUGCGUAACAGCUUACUAGUCUAGGUUCUGGGUCUCGAAAAUGGACGGGGCUAAAUCAACAACCGAUACUGCAGGGCUCAGUAAUGAGUUUGGUAGGUAGGUAUCCUGUGAGGGCAGAAGCACGCUUGAGAAGGUGUGUGGACCUCGCAGGAAAACGAAUCCUGGUGGUAGUAGGACCUGAGCGGUGUGAGAAUCACCGUAACCGAAAGGGCAAGGGUUCCUUGGCAAUGCAAAUCAGCCAAGGGUAAGUUAGUCCUAACCGCGAUCGUAAUGGUGUAGCGGGAAAGGGAGACAGGUUAAUAUUCCUGUACCAUCUUUGUAUGUGCGGCAACGCAAGCUCAUGUUUCAGACAUUUCUGGCUAGGCCAACACAUGCUUUGCUUGUGUUAAAGGGAACAGGUCAGGGGAGAAUCAUUAUGAUGAGAACCUGAUCAAGCCCUGAUGAGCACCCUGUAUGGGGUGUUUGGCUCAUGCCCGGAAUCCCUGAAAAUGGAACAGAGAAAGAUCAAAGAUGACUAUACCAAGAACCGGCACAGGUGCCCCAAGGUGAGUAGCCUAAGGUUUGUAGGUUUAAUCUAGUUAAGGGAAUUCGGCAAAAUAGCCCCGUGGCUUAGGUACAAGGGGUCCCUGCGCUCGUGACGCAAGUUGCGAGUACAGGGUGCAAUUACAAGGGGGGUCCGACUGUUUAACAAAAACGCAGCUUUCCGCAAAUCCGUAAGGACAAGUAUGGGAGGCGACAUCUGCCCAGUGCCAGUACUUUAAACUCCUUUUCAAGGGAGCUAAGAGCUGGUAAACGGCGGGGGUAACUAUAACUCUCUUAAGGUAGCGAAAUGCCUUGCCGUUUGAUUGACGGCCUGCAUGAAUG
rnacentral:rRNA from 1 species